rnacentral:rRNA from 1 species
UACGUAGGGACCAAGCGUUGUUCGGAUUUACUGGGCGUAAAGGGCGCGUAGGCGGCUUGUCAAGUCACUUGUGAAAUCUCUGGGCUUAACCCAGAACGGCCAAGUGAAACUGGCAUGCUAGAGUGCAGAAGGGGCAAUCGGAAUUCUUGGUGUAGCGGUGAAAUGCGUAGAUAUCAAGAGGAACACCUGAGGUGAAGACGGGUUGCUGGGCUGACACUGACGCUGAGGCGCGAAAGCCAGGGGAGCAAACGGG